UACAGAGGUCCCAAGCGUUGUUCGGAUUCACUGGGCGUAAAGGGUGCGUAGGCGGUCGGGUAAGUCUGAUGUGAAAUCUCACAGCUUAACUGUGAAACUGCAUUGGAUACUAUCCGGCUCGAGGAAUGGAGGGGAGACUGGAAUUCCUGGUGUAGCGGUGAAAUGCGCAGAUAUCGGGAAGAACACCCGUGGCGAAGGCGGCUCUCUGGGACGGUACUGACGCUGAGACGCGAAAGCGUGGGGAGCGAACAGG
rnacentral:rRNA from 1 species